UACAGAGGGGGCGAGCGUUGUUCGGAAUUACUGGGCGUAAAGGGCGCGUAGGCGGCCCGCUAAGUCGAACGUGAAAUCCCCAGGCUCAACCUGGGAACUGCGUCCGAUACUGGCAGGCUUGAAUCCGGGAGAGGGAUGUGGAAUUCCAGGUGUAGCGGUGAAAUGCGUAGAUAUCUGGAGGAACACCGGUGGCGAAGGCGGCAUCCUGGACCGGUAGUGACGCUGAGGCGCGAAAGCUAGGGGAGCAAACGGG
rnacentral:rRNA from 1 species